UUCGCUUCUCCCCCGGGAUCUUCCAAAACUCGCUCGGUGUCGGCAGCUGAAUUCCUGCCCGUGCAAUUCCCCUCGGGGGCCGAGGGCUUGGAGCGGGGCCAGGGCAGAGCCCGGCUAUCCGGUUGCAAGUGCAUUUCGGGGUGGAUGCAGCUGCUUUCCAAAGUUUUCCAGCAGAGAAAGAGGCGUUUUGCAUCAAUACACCAAAUGCCUUCAUUUUUGCAUAAAUAACACCAAAUGCCUUCAUUUCUGCAUAAAUACACCAAAUGCCUUCUGCGGCUCCUGAACGGGUAAAAGUCACGGGCCAAGCACAAGGGGGCACUGCCCUGGGCUCUGCUGCCCCUGUUUAAAAUUCCCCAAGUCCCCAUGUCCCCAAAGGCCUCAGCACCCCAAAAACACGCCCGAGGGGCUGCCCAGAUGUUCCCCCCAGCUGCCUUCAUGUGCCCCCAGCUCACCCAAUUAUUGCUCCGUGGUGCCCAGACACCACCUCACGCUGCCCAGGGGUUGCCCUGGAUCCUCAGACAUUGUUCCGGGAUGCUCACAGACCAUCCAGGACACCCGAGUGUUGCUCCAGAAGCCCGAGGGUCUCCCUUGACGUACAGGUGUUGCUCCGGGAUAACCAGAGGUGGCCCCAGGGAUGCCCCGAUGUCAUUCUGUGGUGCCCAGGUGUUGCCCUGGGUGUACAGAUGCUGCCCCAGGGAUGCCCAGAUGUUGCCCUGGAUUUACAGAUGUCCCCCCAGAGUGCUCAGAGAUUGCCCAUAGUGCCCAGAUGUCACAGGGUGCCCUCCGGUCCCACAUGUGGCCAUGGUCACGCCCUCCCUGACCCAUGAGGAACCCCCCGCCCCGUGCUGUGGUUCCCAGUUCCUUGCUUUGUGCUGCAGCUCCUGGUCCCCACGUUCCGGCCUGGGGCAGCCUCUUGUCCCCCGGUGCUGGUGGUUUUGGCCAGAAGUGGUGCCAGCCAGGUGCAGGCAGCCCUUGACACCGGCACAGGGCUUGAAAUCAACGCCUGGUUCGGGUGGAGGGGCCGGGGCCGGGGAGCCUGGGAUGGGGCUGGGGGCCAGGCUCCAGACCCCAGCUGCGGCGUGACCCCAGGCAAGGCCACCACGUCCUGCACCACCAACACAGCCGUGUCCCCGUGUGCCACCAGGCUGCCACCACCCCGCUAGGCCAGCACAGCGUCACCCAGCCCGAGCACACCGGGUGCCACCGGAGCUGGGACGAGGCACUGUCACUGUCCCCAGGUGUGGUGGCACAGGGGUGGCCCCACGGGUCCCUCCUGGUGCUGGGCACCAGCUCCGGCACCGGCAGCCACAUCCCUGGGCAGAGCGGGGUCCUGUGAUGGGGGGCCCCUGGUGUAGGGCCCUGGGUUCAACCCCCC
rnacentral:lncRNA from 1 species